UACGUAGGGUGCGAGCGUUAAUCGGAAUUACUGGGCGUAAAGCGUGCGCAGGCGGUUUUGUAAGCCAGAUGUGAAAUCCCCGGGCUUAACCUGGGAAUGGCAUUUGGGACUGCAAGGCUGGAGUGCGGCAGAGGAGACUGGAAUUCCUGGUGUAGCAGUGAAAUGCGUAGAUAUCGAGAAGAACGCUCGCUGCGAAAGCGAAGCUCUGGCCAGAUUCUGACGCUGAGGCACGAAGGCUAGGGGAGCAAACGGG
rnacentral:rRNA from 1 species